rnacentral:rRNA from 1 species
GACGAACGCUGGCGGCGUGCUUAACACAUGCAAGUCGAACGGAAAGGCCCUGCUUUUGUGGGGUGCUCGAGUGGCGAACGGGUGAGUAACACGUGAGUAACCUGCCCUUGACUUUGGGAUAACUUCAGGAAACUGGGGCUAAUACCGCAUAGGAGCUCCUGCUGCAUGGUGGGGGUUGGAAAGUUUCGGCGGUUGGGGAUGGACUCGCGGCUUAUCAGCUUGUUGGUGGGGUAGUGGCUUACCAAGGCUUUGACGGGUAGCCGGCCUGAGAGGGUGACCGGCCACAUUGGGACUGAGAUACGGCCCAGACUCCUACGGGAGGCAGCAGUGGGGAAUAUUGCACAAUGGGCGGAAGCCUGAUCCAGCAACGCCGCGUGCGGGAUGACGGCCUUCGGGUUGUAAACCGCUUUCGCCUGUGACGAAGCGUGAGUGACGGUAAUGGGUAAAGAAGCACCGGCUAACUACGUG